AUUGAACGCUGGCGGCAGGCCUGACACAUGCAAGUCGAGCGGAUGAAGGGAGCUUGCUCCUGGAUUCAGCGGCGGACGGGUGAGUAAUGCCUAGGAAUCUGCCUGGUAGUGGGGGAUAACGUCCGGAAACGGGCGCUAAUACCGCAUACGUCCUGAGGGAGAAAGUGGGGGAUCUUCGGACCUCACGCUAUCAGAUGAGCCUAGGUCGGAUUAGCUAGUUGGUGUGGUAAAGGCCUACCAAGGCGACGAUCCGUAACUGGUCUGAGAGGAUGAUCAGUCACACUGGAACUGAGACACGGUCCAGACUCCUACGGGAGGCAGCAGUGGGGAAUAUUGGACAAUGGGCGAAAGCCUGAUCCAGCCAUGCCGCGUGUGUGAAGAAGGUCUUCGGAUUGUAAAGCACUUUAAGUUGGGAGGAAGGGCAGUAAGUUAAUACCUUGCUGUUUUGACGUUACCAACAGAAUAAGCACCGGCUAACUUCGUG
rnacentral:rRNA from 1 species